AAGUCGUAACAAGGUUUCCGUAGGUGAACCUGCGGAAGGAUCAUUAGUGAAACUCUCUGGGGAAACAGGUCCGAUCCCUUUUCCCUGGAACGUCACAUCCACACACACUUGUGCAACGUCCGGAGGCGUUCCCCUCUCCGAUUCGCCUUCGUGGCGGUCGGGGAGGGAUGCAUGCCCUCGGUUAAUAUCUUCAACUCUUGUCUAACGAAUGUAAUUGCAUACGCCUUAACGGGCAAAAUGAAAAAUAAAA
rnacentral:misc_RNA from 1 species